CCUACGGGGGGCAGCAGUGAGGAAUAUUGGUCAAUGGGCGCGAGCCUGAACCAGCCAAGUCGCGUGAGGGAAGACGGUCCUAUGGAUUGUAAACCUCUUUUGUCGGGGAGCAAAAGACGCCACGCGUGGCGUUCCGAGAGUACCCGAAGAAAAAGCAUCGGCUAACUCCGUGCCAGCAGCCGCGGUAAUACGGAGGAUGCGAGCGUUAUCCGGAUUUAUUGGGUUUAAAGGGUGCGCAGGCGGAAGAUUAAGUCAGCGGUAAAAUUGAGAGGCUCAACCUGUUCGAGCCGUUGAAACUGGUUUUCGUGAGUGAGUGAGAGGUAGGCGGAAUGCGUGGUGUAGCGGUGAAAUGCAUAGAUAUCACGCAGAACUCCGAUUGCGAAGGCAGCAUACCGGCGCUCAACUGACGCUCAUGCACGAAAGUGUGGGUAUCGAACAGGAUUAGAUACCCUGGUAGUC
rnacentral:rRNA from 1 species